rnacentral:rRNA from 1 species
GGAUGAACGCUGGCGGCGUGCCUAAUACAUGUAAGUCGAACGGAAGAUGUAGUAAUACGUCUUUAGUGGCGAACGGGUGAGUAACGCGUUGGUGACCUGCCCCGAAGAGAGGGAUAACAGACCGAAAGGUUUGCUAAUACCGCGUAAUUUCCUUCUAGUUAGAGAGGAGGGAAGAAAGGCCGAAAGGCGCUUUGGGAGGGGCCUGCGUCCCAUCAGCUAGUUGGCGAGGUAAAAGCUCACCAAGGCGAUGACGGGUAGGGGACCUGAGAGGGUGACCCCCCACAAUGGAACUGAAACACGGUCCAUACACCUACGGGUGGCAGCAGUAGGGAAUAUUGGUUAAUGGGCGAAAGCCCGACCCAGCAACGCCGCGUGCACGAAGAAGGCCUUCGGGUUGUAAAGUGCUUUUUAGUGGGAUGAGGAAGGACAGUACCACUAGAAUAAGUCUCGGCUAACUACGUGCCAGCAGCCGCGGUAAUACAGAGGUGGCAAGCGUUGUUCGGAAUUACUGGGCGUAAAGGGCGCGUAGGCGGCCCUGUAAGUCCCGCGUGAAAGCCCUCGACUCAACCGAGGAACUGCGCGGGAGACUGCAAGGCUUGAGUUCGGGAGAGGGAAGUGGAAUUCCGGGUGUAGCGGUGAAAUGCGCAGAUAUCCGGAGGAACACCGGUGGCGAAGGCGGCUUCCUGGACCGACACUGACGCUGAGGCGCGAAAGCUAGGGGAGCAAACGGGAUUAGAUACCCCGGUAGUCCUAGCUGUAAACGAUGAGUGCUGGGUGUAGGGGGUAUGAACCCCCCCUGUGCCGAAGCUAACGCAUUAAGCACUCCGCCUGGGGAGUACGGUCGCAAGGCUGAAACUCAAAGGAAUUGACGGGGGCCCGCACAAGCGGUGGAGCAUGUGGUUCAAUUCGACGCAACGCGCAGAACCUUACCGGGGUUCGAACUGCACGAGACAGCCCAAGAGAUUGGGUCUUCCUUCGGGACUCGUGUAGAGGUGCUGCAUGGCUGUCGUCAGCUCGUGUCGUGAGAUGUUGGGUUAAGUCCCGCAACGAGCGCAACCCUCGCCUUCUGUUGCCACCAGGUAAUGCUGGGCACUCUGAAGGUACUGCCGGCGACAAGCCGGAGGAAGGUGGGGAUGACGUCAAGUCCUCAUGGCCUUUAUGCCCCGGGCUACACACGUGCUACAAUGGCCGAUACAAAGGGUUGCAAAGCCGCGAGGUGGAGCUAAUCCCAAAAAAUCGGUCCCAGUUCGGAUUGCAGUCUGCAACUCGACUGCAUGAAGUUGGAAUCGCUAGUAAUCGCGGAUCAGAAUGCCGCGGUGAAUACGUUCCCGGGCC